rnacentral:lncRNA from 1 species
GGCUAUUUUGCUCUCAUUUUAUCCUUAGGCUUCAGCAGAAGAAACACUUCCUAUAAAUCUCGCCCAAACAGGAAAGGUCACUGAAGCCCACUUUUGAGACAAAGACUAUUUCUCCCCCAAAAGUCAAGGGAAAUAUAAAAAGUGAAAUUAGUGAUUAAGCAUAGAAGUCAAUUAAUACAAUCAUUUUGUCUUAAUUAUUUAAAGUCCAGUUUUUUUCCUCCAGCAAACCUGAAAAUACACUAUCCUCCAGCUAUCAGAAUUAUAUUGAGAUCUACUCACAUUUAUGAU